ACUAUUAUAAUUUGAGCGGGAGGGACUCUGGAGGGGGGGCGGGCAAACGAAGGGUAUAUAAUGUAGUUGGCUGAAGUUUCUUUGUAUAUAAACACACACACUCAUAACACACGCACCUAGAGACACACACACGGAUAUUUGUAGUGGUGAAGUGUUUGUAGGAUCUAGCAAGUGUGUGGUGAAUCAGACAGACACGGAUAUUUGAAGUGUUGGUGUGUUUCUGUGGUAAAUCAUACAGACACACACACACGCAUAUUUUGAAGUGGUGAAGUGUGUUUUGGCCCUUCAGUAAGGUGUGUUUCUGUGGUAAUUCAUUCACAGACUCAACCACUCAUAUCUGAAAUUUUUAGUGAGGUGUGUUUGUGUGUGUGUACAGUGCUUGUCCCGGAGAGGAAAGUACUGUUGAACCGAAUGGCAAGGUGGAACUCAGGGAAAAGGGAGAGGAAGAGGAAAAAAUAAGUGAAAGCAGUUUGUAGAAGUUAAAGAGGAAGAGAAAAGAAGAAAAAAAAUCUGUUUGUGGAAG